GGCUGAAAUUCGCCUUCAUGAAGCCGGAAUUGCUAGUAAUGGCAGGUCAGCAUACUACCGUGAAUACGUUCCCGGGCCUUGUACACACCGCCCGUCACACCAUGAGAGUUGGGGAUACCCGAAGCCUGUGAGCUAACUUUAUAAGGAGCAGCAGUCGAAGGUAGAAUCAAUGAUUGGGGUGAAGUCGUAACAAGGUAGC
rnacentral:rRNA from 1 species